UACGUAGGGGGCUAGCGUUGCUCGGAAUUACUGGACGUAAAGCGCACGUAGGCGGCUUUCUAAGUCGGGGGUGAAAUCCUGGAGCUCAACUCCAGAACUGCCUUUGAUACUGAGGAUCUUGAGUUCGGGAGAGGUGAGUGGAACUGCGAGUGUAGAGGUGAAAUUCGUAGAUAUUCGCAAGAACACCAGUGGCGAAGGCGGCUCACUGGCCCGAUACUGACGCUGAGGCACGAAAGCGUGGGGAGCAAACAGG
rnacentral:rRNA from 1 species